rnacentral:rRNA from 1 species
GAUCAUGGCUCAGGAUGAACGCUGGCGGCGUGCUUAACACAUGCAAGUCGAACGAAACACCUUAUUUGAUUUUCUUCGGAACUGAAGAUUUGGUGAUUGAGUGGCGGACGGGUGAGUAACGCGUGGGUAACUUGCCCUGUACAGGGGGAUAACAGUCAGAAAUGACUGCUAAUACCGCAUAAGACCACUGCACCGCAUGGUGCAGGGGUAAAAACUCCGGUGGUACAGGAUGGACCCGCGU